GAUGAACGCUAGCUACAGGCUUAACACAUGCAAGUCGAGGGGAAACGGCAUUAAGUGCUUGCACUUUUUGGACGUCGACCGGCGCACGGGUGAGUAACGCGUAUCCAACAUUACCAUGACUAAGGGAUAACCUGCCGAAACGCAGACUAAUACAUUAUGGUCUUCACUGACGGCAUCAGAUGAGAAGUACAGAUUUAUCGGUUAUGGAUGGGGAUGCGUCUGAUUAGCUUGUUGGCGGGGUAACGGCCCACCAAGGCAACGAUCAGUAGGGGUGCUGAGAGGAAGCUACCCCGCAUUUGAACUGAGACACGGUCCAAACUCCUACGGGAAGGAGCAGUGAGGAAUAUUAGUCAAUGGGCGAGAGCCUGAACCAGCCAAGUAGCGGGCAGGAGGACGGCCCUAUUGGUUGUAAACUGCUUUUGUAUGGGGAUAAAGUCAAUCACGUGUGAUUGUUUGCAGGUACCAUACGAAUAAGGACCGGCUAAUUCCGUG
rnacentral:rRNA from 1 species